UGAUUAGGUGUGGUGCUUCUUACCUGUUCCUCCUUCUGGCAGGCAGAUCAGAACAUGACCACUGGAGUUCCCAUUACAUGUGAUUAAUAUCUCUGCAGAAUCAGGAAUUGCAGUACCCUGAUGGCUCCUAUCUGGU
ensembl:snoRNA U8 U8 small nucleolar RNA